GACGAACGCUGGCGGCGUGCCUAACACAUGCAAGUCGAGCGAAUGAAGUUCCUUCGGGAAUGGAUUUAGCGGCGGACGGGUGAGUAACACGUGGGCAGCCUGCCUCAUAGAGGGGAAUAGCCUCCCGAAAGGGAGAUUAAUACCGCAUAAGAUUGUAGUACCGCAUGAUACAGCAAUUAAAGGAGCAAUCCGCUAUGAGAUGGGCCCGCGGCGCAUUAGCUAGUUGGUGAGGUAAUGGCUCACCAAGGCGACGAUGCGUAGCCGACCUGAGAGGGUGAUCGGCCACAUUGGGACUGAGACACGGCCCAGACUCCUACGGGAAGCAGCAGUGGGGAAUAUUGCACAAUGGGGGAAACCCUGAUGCAGCAACGCCGCGUGAGUGAUGACGGCCUUCGGGUUGUAAAGCUCUGUCUUCAGGGACGAUAAUGACGGUACCUGAGGAGGAAGCCACGGCUAACUACGUG
rnacentral:rRNA from 1 species